CGGACGGAGGCGGCUCUUCCUAGAGGGGGCUCCCCUCUCUCAGCUCUUACCACGGGGUAGCAUUCGGCUGGGGCGUCCUGUCCCUUCUCCCAGGCCAGCAGGAAUGCCAUCUUGUUCUUUCUCCUUUUAAUUUUGUAAUUAAAUCCCACAAACAAGAAGAUUUAAAAAAAUAAAAAAAGGUGAGCUGUAUUUGUGGAUCAUCUUCUUGUUCUACAUGUUACUAAACACAAGAUGGAAAAUGCCCCAGAGACUGUGGUGAGAAAAAAAAAAAAAAGCAAACAAAAGGCUUGGUUUAUAAUAUUUAGUCAUGAAGUUACCUACAUUAAAUGCGAUUGAAAGAGAUGAUCUUAAGCCGAGGAUUUCUUAAAUUUACCAGAAUGAUGGUCUGGACACUUGAAGUAAGAGCCCUUUGAAACUGAUGUGCUGUGGGAUAAAGCACAUUCUUCCUUCAGAAAAGAGAAAGCCAAGAUAUUGUGGGGGCACCAGGAACAAUGAAGCCGAUGAAACGGAGGUCAGAGCUGAAGGUUUCUGCUAGAAGCAAGCUAUACACAGUCUUAUUGCAUCAGUAAAGAAUUUGCCUUUAAAGACUAGAAAAACAACAACAUGGAAAUGAAGCCCAGUGCCCGCACCAAACAAAGACUGGAUCCUUGAUUGUUUUUCAUGAAUUCUUGCCUGCAAUGCUAGAGCUCAAACCUCCAGAUCUCCCUCCAGUCAUACAAGCUAACGACAGCUGGGCUGAGAGAAUCAAAGGAUGUGGGGGAGAGACCGAAGGAGGAGAAAAGAAAAUGUUGAUAUUGUUAACCCCAACGCAAGGGACAGAGUCUCACUGUGUUGCCCAAGCUGGUCUUGAA